rnacentral:rRNA from 1 species
GACGAACGCUGGCGGCGUGCCUAAUACGUGCAAGUCGAGCGAACAGAUGAGAAGCUUGCUUCUCCGAUGUUAGCGGCGGACGGGUGAGUAACACGUGGGUAACCUACCUAUAAGACUGGGAUAACUCCGGGAAACCGGGGCUAAUACCGGAUAAUAUUUUGAACCGCAUGGUUCAAUAGUGAAAGACGGUUUCGGCUGUCACUUAUAGAUGGACCCGCGCCGUAUUAGCUAGUUGGUAAGGUAACGGCUUACCAAGGCGACGAUACGUAGCCGACCUGAGAGGGUGCUAGGCUACACUGGAACUGAGACACGGUCCAGACUCCUACGGGAGGCAGCAGUAGGGAAUCUUCCGCAAUGGGCGAAAGCCUGACGGAGCAACGCCGCGUGAGUGAUGAAGGUCUUCGGAUUGUAAAACUCUGUUGUUAGGGAAGAACAAAUUUGUUAGUAACUGAACAAGUCUUGACGGUACCUAACCAGAAAGCCACGGCUAACUACGUGCCAGCCGCCGCGGUAA